GGGGGUGUACAGGAUUCGACUGGGAAGGGUUGUGUCUAUAGGUUGCAGGUGGAGCGGUACCUCCUAAAACUGCCACGGCAAUAAGUGCCAACGACGAACUUGCUCUGGCUGCCUAAGUAACGCAGCCACGGGCACCCCGGGCGCAGCCCUGAGCACGGGAGUGUCCGACAGAAAGCAGGGCUUACCGUACGGUGUGUCCGGCCGCCGUGCGGGACAUCACACGUCGGACUGGGAAGAAAGAGGCCGGUGCCGGGCCUCCUUUCUUCCGAGAUAGCAACCGGCACCUAAACCUGUAGAGGCCUAUAGGCCGCUUCUCAGGACGCGGGUUCGAUUCCCGCCACCUCCAGUG
rfam:Spirochaeta thermophila DSM 6578, complete genome.